rnacentral:rRNA from 1 species
CAGCAGGGUUUGGUGAGAUGCUCAUCGCGUGUCGCCCUUAGAGUUUGAUCCUGGCUCAGGAUGAACGCUAGCGGCAGGCCUAACACAUGCAAGUCGAGGGGUAGAGUUCAGCUUGCUGAACUUGAGACCGGCGCACGGGUGCGUAACGCGUAUGCAAUCUACCUUUUGCAGGGGGAUAGCCCGAAGAAAUUUGGAUUAAUACCCCAUGGUAUAGCACCAGGGCAUCCUGGAGUUAUUAAAACUUUGGUGGCAAAAGAUGAGCAUGCGUCCCAUUAGCUAGUUGGUAUGGUAACGGCAUACCAAGGCUACGAUGGGUAGGGGUCCUGAGAGGGAGAUCCCCCACACUGGUACUGAGACACGGACCAGACUCCUACGGGAGGCAGCAGUGAGGAAUAUUGGACAAUGGGCGAGAGCCUGAUCCAGCCAUGCCGCGUGCAGGAAGACGGCCCUAUGGGUUGUAAACUGCUUUUCUACAGGAAGAAUAAGGAGUACGUGUACUCUGAUGACGGUAUUGUAGGAAUAAGCACCGGCUAACUCCGUGCCAGCAGCCGCGGUAAUACGGAGGGUGCAAGCGUUAUCCGGAAUCAUUGGGUUUAAAGGGUCCGUAGGCGGUGCAUUAAGUCAGGGGUGAAAGUUUGCCGCUUAACGGUAAAAUUGCCUUUGAUACUGAUGCACUUGAAUAUGUGUGAAGUAAUUAGAAUAUGUAGUGUAGCGGUGAAAUGCAUAGAUAUUACAUAGAAUACCGAUUGCGAAGGCAGGUUACUAACACAUGAUUGACGCUGAUGGACGAAAGCGUGGGUAGCGAACAGGAUUAGAUACCCUGGUAGUCCACGCCGUAAACGAUGGAUACUAGCUGUUGGGUAGCAAUGCUCAGUGGUUAAGCGAAAGUGAUAAGUAUCCCACCUGGGGAGUACGUUCGCAAGAAUGAAACUCAAAGGAAUUGACGGGGGCCCGCACAAGCGGUGGAGCAUGUGGUUUAAUUCGAUGAUACGCGAGGAACCUUACCAAGGCUUAAAUGUAAUCGGACGUAAUUGGAAACAGUUAUUUCUUCGGACUGAUUACAAGGUGCUGCAUGGUUGUCGUCAGCUCGUGCCGUGAGGUGUCAGGUUAAGUCCUAUAACGAGCGCAACCCCUGUGAUUAGUUACCAGCAUGUAAAGAUGGGGACUCUAAUCAGACUGCCGGUGCAAACCGUGAGGAAGGUGGGGAUGACGUCAAAUCAUCACGGCCCUUACGUCUUGGGCUACACACGUGCUACAAUGGUCGGUACAGAGAGCAGCCACUACGCGAGUAGGAGCGAAUCUAUAAAACCGAUCACAGUUCGGAUCGGAGUCUGCAACUCGACUCCGUGAAGCUGGAAUCGCUAGUAAUCGGAUAUCAGCCAUGAUCCGGUGAAUACGUUCCCGGGCCUUGUACACACCGCCCGUCAAGCCAUGGAAGCCGGGGGUACCUGAAGUCGGUGACCGCAAGGAGCUGCCUAGGGUAAGACUGGUAACUGGGGCUAAGUCGUAACAAGGAACCAAGGCAACGCAUGCACACGAAAAAAAGUUAGGUGU